rnacentral:rRNA from 1 species
CCGCGUGAGUGAUGAAGGUUUUCGGAUCGUAAAGCUCUGUUGUUAGGGAAGAACAAGUGCCGUUCAAAUAGGGCGGCACCUUGACGGUACCUAACCAGAAAGCCACGGCUAACUACGUGCCAGCAGCCGCGGUAAUACGUAGGUGGCAAGCGUUGUCCGGAAUUAUUGGGCGUAAAGGGCUCGCAGGCGGUUUCUUAAGUCUGAUGUGAAAGCCCCCGGCUCAACCGGGGAGGGUCAUUGGAAACUGGGGAACUUGAGUGCAGAAGAGGAGAGUGGAAUUCCACGUGUAGCGGUGAAAUGCGUAGAGAUGUGGAGGAACACCAGUGGCGAAGGCGACUCUCUGGUCUGUAACUGACGCUGAGGAGCGAAAGCGUGGGGAGCGAACAGGAUUAGAUACCCUGGUAGUCCACGCCGUAAACGAUGAGUGCUAAGUGUUAGGGGGUUUCCGCCCCUUAGUGCUGCAGCUAACGCAUUAAGCACUCCGCCUGGGGAGUACGGUCGCAAGACUGAAACUCAAAGGAAUUGACGGGGGCCCGCACAAGCGGUGGAGCAUGUGGUUUAAUUCGAAGCAACGCGAAGAACCUUACCAGGUCUUGACAUCCUCUGACAAAUCCUAGAGAUAGGACGUCCCCUUCGGGGGCAGAGUGACAGGUGGUGCAUGGUUGUCGUCAGCUCGUGUCGUGAGAUGUUGGGUUAAGUCCCGCAACGAGCGCA